UUGAUGUAAUUCAAGUUGGAUUGAUUUUUCAAAAGAAUUCUCUGCCAUAUUUCAGGCUAGGAGACUGUUAUAUAUUGAUAUCUCAAGGUUAGUUACAAGUUAGUUACAAGGUUGUUUUAUUUAGUUAGUUACAAGACUGUUUUAGGAAGUUAGUUACAGCUGUAUUUCUAAUUAGUUAGGGAUUUUUACUAACUAACUAGCUAUAGUUUACAUCAAAUAUACUAAUAGAUUUAUCAAAAAACAAAAAAAUAGGAAGUUAAAUA